GCCUGGUUGGCUCAGUUGAUAGAGCAUAUGACUCUUGGUCUCGGGGUCAUGGGUUCAAGCCCCACAUUGGGUG
rnacentral:tRNA from 1 species